rnacentral:rRNA from 1 species
GUUGUAUAGUUAAGUAACUAAGCGUACAAGGUGGAUGCCUUGGCAAUCAGAGGCGAAGAAGGACGUGCUAAUCUGCGAAAAGCUUGGAUGAGUUGAUAAGAAGCGUUUAAUCCAAGAUAUCCGAAUGGGGAAACCCGAUGGAUGAAGAAUCCAUCAUUUCAUUAUGAAUCCAUAGUAAUGAAAGGCAAACCGGGAGAACUGAAACAUCUAAGUACCCCGAGGAAAAGAAAUCAACCGAGAUUCCGUGAGUAGCGGCGAGCGAAAGCGGAGGAGCCGGUAAGUGAUAGCGAAAGCGUUAGAGGAAUAGGCUGGGAAGCCUAGCGACACAGGGUGAUAGCCCCGUACUUAAAAAUACUUUUGUGGUACUAAGCUUACGAGAAGUAGGGCGGGACACGUGAUAUCCUGUCUGAAGGUGGGGGGACCAUCCUCCAAG